UAUAUGCAAAAAUGGCUAUUAUAAUUUGUUUGCUGAUGAAUUGAUUUUAUAUUUUGUAUCUAAUACAAUGAAAUGCAUCCAAUGUAUUACCUUUGAACUAAAUCAGUUGAAAAAUAAUUGUACGCUGUUGUCUUCUGAUCGUUGACCAAAUCCUCACACAAGUGUCUGUAUUUCUAUUUGUCUAAACUAGGAAUAUAACAUCCAUGGAUGGUGGGUUGGAGAGCUGGAUGGCUCUAUUGGCAUAGUCCCCAAGGAGUUUUUACAUCCUGCUUAUAUUCUAUGAGGUUUGCUUUUUGUGAAGAUCACAGAAUGUUCAGCGUUAUAACACUUUAACACCUCAUCAUGGUUUGAAAACUGUCAAUGAUUAGAUAAGAAUGUGAAUUCAACAUGCAUUUUAGUCCAUUUCUAGAACCUUAACCCUAUCUGAGACCAAAUAGAUUUUCUUACUUUUUUUUUGUAUAUAAGCCUUUUUAUUUCAUGAUUAGUGUACAUUAAGAGGCUUGUCUAAAUCUACAUUUCACGGGUUUUCUGAUUUGUUCAAACAUAAGCCACAUUUAUGCAAAUGGUGUACAUAAGAAAAACAUUUGUAGUGUAAGAACUUCUCAUUUAUCAUCACUUAAAGGCUGUGUUCUAUUUCAACAGCACAAAAUAUUGAAUACAAUUAUCCUUUUUAAUGUACAAUUAAGACCGUGACUGCAAAGAGCCAUUAUCAGUUAUUCUUUAGUAUGUUGAAAGUUCUUAACUUUGCAUUUGUUUUUGAAAUUGCUUGGUUCACAGUACUACUAGCAAUUUCAGUAGAUAUUACUCCAUGGAAAUAACCUGUCAUACCACAGUUUAAUUCAAAUAAAAAGCCUUGCCACUUUGGACUUAAGUAUACUUUUUGUGUAAAAUUGAAUUACUUGUAUUCAAAUAGGGACUGCAAAUCAAAUUACUUCUAAAAAUAUUCAGGAAAAAAGCACAACACAAGAACAGCACUUAAUGACGUGCCUUAAAUGUAUUGUAAAAACAAUACUUUAUUCAGCAAAAUGUAUCACAAAUGACAUUGGACAAAAUGAAACCAUAAAAAGCUUCCAGAACUUGAUGAAUCAGUUAUUUCAGAUGAAAAUAUAAUAUUCCAUCAUGUAAUAACUGUCAGAUCACACUCCAAAUAAAAUCUUGCACAAUAACUGCCUUGCUUCCACUUUAGCCUACAUGUACAUUUCAGAUGAACAACAUAACCUGCUUAAGUGAAACACGGCAUCAAUAAGAGCUUCUCAACCGGAGAAACAGAGCAUCAUGGGUAGAUCCAUAAUCACUUAACCCCUAAGAAGGCUCAGAAACACUUGAAAUGCAUUCAAAAACUACAUGGAAUUUGGCUUUUCAA